GCUGUUACUGUGGUAAUCGUGUUUAGUAUGAGAGGAACCGCAGGUUCAGACAACUGGUAUAUCUGCCUGUUCCAAAGGCCACUGGUGUGAAACUACCAUCUGAGGGAUUAAGACUAAACUCCUCUAAGUCUGAAUCCCGUAUAUAUUUGCAACGGUGCAUUCCGUAUCCGACACGUGGCUGGGGAAGCUUAAGUAUUCCUUUUGGUGUCUGGACUGGACCAUGUGUUCGGCUAGGCCCAUUAGGUCUGAUGUUACACCAGAGCGAUGAUCAUAAACUAUGCUCUAGAUUUCGGGGCGUAGGGGUCGACACGAUACCUAAUUGUGUCGUGAGGAUACUAAAUCGUUUGUAGACGACUUAAUGUUUUGUCGGGGGAGAUGUAAGUUCUCGAGCAGCUAGGCAUUGAAUCCUAUCCCUGCUUGACGUAAUGA
rnacentral:ncRNA from 1 species